CGAAGGGUGCAAGCGUUGCUCGGAAUUAUUGGGCGUAAAGGGUUGGUAGGUGGUCUUGUUUGUCUGAGGUGAAAUCCCAUGGCUUAACUGUGGAAGUGCCUCAGAAACGGCAAGACUAGAGUCCUAGAGGGGUUUGUGGAAUUCCCGGUGUAGCGGUGAAAUGCGUAGAGAUCGGGAGGAACACCAGCGGCGAAGGCGGCAAACUGGAUAGGCACUGACACUCAACAACGAAAGCGUGGGGAGCAAACAGGAUUAGAUACCCUGUAGUCCACGCUGUAAACGAUGGGUACUAGGCUUUGUGGGAAUAGACCCCUGCAGAGCCGGAGCUAACGCAAUAAGUACCCCGCCUGGGAAGUACGGUCGCAAGACUA
rnacentral:rRNA from 1 species